rnacentral:lncRNA from 1 species
UUCUUGCCUUGUAUUUGGAUCUUUACCAAUAUUUGUAAAGUCUAUAACAGGAAUAAUGUGUUGUGAAAGAUCAAAGCAAGUCUGUUUUCAUUUUGCUCAUCUUGUAGUCGUGGCCAAUGCUUAUGUCUUUGCUGUCAUAUAACAGCACAAUGUUGCCGGGGAAUGCAUAUAUGCAUUUGUUUGCAACAAUUGCAGUGGAGUUUUCAUUAUAUGGUUGACUAGUUGCAAGUUGAUUUGUCAUUGUGUUUGUGUCGUUUGAUGACUCAAUUUAGGAUUUUAAUUGAGUGUGUAUGUUUCUUUCAAUUAUGCAUAUUGACUCAAUUUAUCUCUCAACUGGAAUAUAUCUGGAAUAAGUUGUCCACAAUUCCCCCACUUUGUCAGGUUGGACGUUAUGACUGGGGUUUGAACCCCGGUUAACUCCGGUUCCCCCACUUUGUGUGUGUGAGUUUUUAAUAGUUUGUCAUUUCGUCUAUCUACUAAAUAGGAAAAAAAAUAAUAUGGACUAACUUGAUCCUCAUAAAAACGUAAGGAUAACACAUCUCUGUGAAUGUUUACUACUAUAGAGCUCCAUGGAUAGGAGUUAUAUCAAUCCAUUUAUUUGUCAUGAAGAAUUUGAAGUCCA